AAAUUGUCGCCGCUGUAUGUACGGAUCCCGGUUGUUUAUGCUGUUAUGGUGUUCCUGUCGCACGCCACGGUGUGUUUGAUCCCCAUGGCACAAGUUGAACAGACGGGUCAGCAGAUUGCCGAUGGUUAUUAUCGACUGUGGGGUGUCGUUCAAUUGAAUCGCUUGGGAGAUGUGGAGAGGCCAUCAGCCGCAGAAGCACCGACUCUCGGUGAGGAUUUCCAGCGACUAGGAAAAAUCAGCGAAAAAGCCGUAC